GAUGAAGAACGUAGCGAAAUGCGAUAAGUAGUGUGAAUUGCAGAAUUCAGUGAAUCAUCGAAUCUUUGAACGCACAUUGCGCCCCUCGGUAUUCCGUGGGGCAUGCCUGUUCGAGCGUCAUUUACCCCUCAAGCACUGCUUGGUGUUGGGCGUCUGUCCCGCUUCGCGCGCGGACUCGCCCCAAAGGUAUUGGCAGCGGUCGUGCCAGCUUCUCGCGCAGCACAUUGCGCUUCUCGAGGCGGUCGAUCGGCGUCCACGAAGCUCACCUCCACCGUUUGACCUCGGAUCAGGUAGGGAUACCCGCUGAACUUAAGCAUAUCAUAGCGGAGGA
rnacentral:misc_RNA from 1 species